GGCAAGAGCUCAGAUUUGAAAUCUGGCCCCCUUGGGGGUCCGAGUUGUAAUCUGUAGGGGAUGCUUCGGAGCCAUACCCGGCCUAAGUUCCUUGGAACAGGACGUCGCAGAGGGUGAGAAUCCCGUAUGCGGCCGGCGGACGGUUCCGUGUGAAGCUCCUCCGACGAGUCGAGUUGUUUGGGAAUGCAGCUCUAAAUGGGAGGUAAAUUUCUUCUAAAGCUAAAUACCGGCCAGAGACCGAUAGCGCACAAGUAGAGUGAUCGAAAGAUGAAAAGCACUUUGGAAAGAGAGUUAAAAAGUACGUGAAAUUGUUGAAAGGGAAGCGCUUGCGACCAGACUCGACCGUUGCGGAUCAACCCUCCCCGCGGAGGGCUCACUCCGCCUCGGUCGGGCCAGCAUCGGUUCCAGCGGUCGGAUAAAGGCGUCGGGAAUGUGGCUCCUCUCGGGGAGUGUUAUAGCCCGUCGUGCAAUACGACCCGCCGGGACCGAGGACCGCGCUUAGGCAAGGAUGCUGGCGUAAUGGUCGUAAGCGGCCCGUCUUGAAACACGGACCAAGGAGUCUAACAUCUAUGCGAGUGUUCGGGUGUCAAACCCCUGCGCGUAAUGAAAGUGAACGGAGGUCGGAGCCCUAGGGCGCACGAUCGACCGAUCCUGAUGUCUUCGGAUGGAUUUGAGUAAGAGCAUAGCUGUUGGGACCCGAAAGAUGUGCGAGCUAUACCUGAGUAGGCCGAAGCCAGCGGAAACGCUGGUGGAGGGUCGCAGCGGUUCUGACGUGCAAAUCGAUCGUCAAACUUGGGUAUAGGGGCGAAAGACUAAUCGAGCCAUUGACGCGCUACUAGGUGGCUAAGAGGUGGGCUAAAAUAAAGGUACCCAUCUAGUCCGGCAUCUCGGGCAAUACUCUUCCAAAUUGCGGGAACGCUCUAGAAGCGUAGGCUACCGCGGAUGGGCCUAACGGCCCAUCGCAGCACCGGGAACCACACCCGGAGAUGGUAACAAUGCCUGCGAUUGAGCAACCACGCAGCCAAGUCCUAAUCCGUGUUUCACACGGCACGGAUGCAGUUCACAGACCAAAUGGGAGUGGGCGCACCUGCGGGAUGCGCCUAAGAUAUGGUCGAUCCACCUCUAACGGGGGUGCUACGGCGAGUAAGUCUGGCGAGUUGGAUGCCUACCGUCGGCACUACGACGGCUAGUCUCGCCGGACCGGAGA
rnacentral:rRNA from 1 species